rnacentral:rRNA from 1 species
GUGCACCAGGCGCGAAAACUUUACAAUGCGAGCAAUCGUGAUAAGGAAACCCUGAGUGCCUGUCAAUGCAGGCUGUUCUGGUGUCUAACACACACCAGGAGAAAGGGCGGGGCAAGACCGGUGCCAGCCGCCGCGGUAAUACCGGCUGCUCGAGUGAUAGCCACUUUUACUGGGCUUAAAGCGUUCGUAGCUUGGUCGUUAAGUCUCUGGGGAAAUCUUUUGGCUCAACCAAAAGGCGUCUCAGGGAAACUGGCGAUCUUGGAACCGGGAGAGGUAAGACGUACUUCGGGGGUAGGAGUGAAAUCUUGUAAUCCCCGAGGGACGACCGAUGGCGAAGGCAUCUUACCAGAACGGCUUCGACAGUGAGGGACGAAAGCUGGGGGAGCAAACCGGAUUAGAUACCCACGUAGUCC